rnacentral:tRNA from 4 species
GGGCUUGUAGUCCAGUGGUUAUGACGUCGCUCUCACACAGCGAAGACCGCCGGUUCGAAUCCGGCCAGGCCCA